UCUCAGUUCGGACUGGAGUCUGCAACCCGACUCCACGAAGUUGGAUUCGCUAGUAAUCGCGCAUCAGCCAUGGCGCGGUGAAUACGUUCCCGGGCCUUGUACACACCGCCCGUCAAGCCAUGGGAGCCGGGGGCGCCUGAAGUCCGGGACCGCGAGGACCGGCCUAGGGCGAAACUGGUAACUGGGGCUAAGUCGUAACAAGGUAAC
rnacentral:rRNA from 1 species